rnacentral:snRNA from 1 species
AGCUUUGCGCAGUGUCAGUAUUGUAGCCAAUGAGGUUUAUCGGAGAUGCGAUUAUUGCUAAAUUUAAAAAAAAAGAAUGUGGUAGUUUCAUAGCACUUAGCUAUAUUGGCUCUGAUGAAUCA